rnacentral:rRNA from 1 species
GAUGAACGCUGGCGGCGUGCCUAAUACAUGCAAGUCGAGCGAACGGACGAGAAGCUUGCUUCUCUGAUGUUAGCGGCGGACGGGUGAGUAACACGUGGAUAACCUACCUAUAAGACUGGGAUAACUUCGGGAAACCGGAGCUAAUACCGGAUGAUAUUUUGAACCGCAUGGUUCAAAAGUGAAAGACGGUCUUGCUGUCACUUAUAGAUGGAUCCGCGCUGCAUUAGCUAGUUGGUAAGGUAACGGCUUACCAAGGCAACGAUGCAUAGCCGACCUGAGAGGGUGAUCGGCCACACUGGAAGUGAGACACGGUCCAGACUCCUACGGGAGGCAGCAGUAGGGAAUCUUCCGCAAUGGACGAAAGCCUGACGGAGCAACGCCGCGUGAGUGAUGAAGGUCUUCGGAUCGUAAAGCUCUGUUAUUAGGGAAGAACAUAUGUGUAAGUAACUGUGCACAUCUUGACGGUACCUAGUCAGAAAGCCACGGCUAACUACGUG